rnacentral:hammerhead_ribozyme from 1 species
GCGUUGCUGAGGAGUCCCACAAAAGAACGAAACGGCCGUUCAAUGC